AACGAACGCUGGCGGCAUGCCUAACACAUGCAAGUCGAACGAGACCUUCGGGUCUAGUGGCGCACGGGUGCGUAACGCGUGGGAACCUGCCCUUAGGUUCGGAAUAACUCCCCGAAAGGGGUGCUAAUACCGGAUAAUGUCUUCGGACCAAAGAUUUAUCGCCUUUGGAUGGGCCCGCGUUGGAUUCGCUAGUUGGUAGGGUAAAAGCCUACCAAGGCGACGAUCCAUAGCUGGUCUGAGAGGAUGAUCAGCCACACUGGGACUGAGACACGGCCCAGACUCCUACGGGAGGCAGCAGUGGGGAAUAUUGGACAAGGGGCGAAAGCCUGAUCCAGCAAUGCCGCGUGAGUGAUGAAGGCCUUAGGGUUGUAAAGCUCUUUUACCCGGGAUGAUAAUGACAGUACCGGGAGAAUAAGCACCGGCUAACUCCGUG
rnacentral:rRNA from 1 species